GGGAGGGGUGCGAGCGUUAAUCGGAAUUACUGGGCGUAAAGCGCGCGUAGGCGGCUAGGUCAGUCGGGAUGUGAAAGCCCCGGGCUUAACCUGGGAAUUGCAUUCGAAACUGCCCUGGCUAGAGUAUGGGAGAGGGAAGCGGAAUUUCCGGUGUAGCGGUGAAAUGCGUAGAUAUCGGAAGGAACACCAGUGGCGAAGGCGGCUUCCUGGCCCAAUACUGACGCUCAGGUGCGAAAGCGUGGGUAGCGAACAGGAUUAGAUACCCUGGUAGUCCACGCCGUAAACGAUGAGAACUAGAUGUCGGGAGGAUUUACCUUUCGGUGUCGCAGCUAACGCAUUAAGUUCUCCGCCUGGGGAGUACGCCGGCAACGGUA
rnacentral:rRNA from 1 species